UGUUUCUUUGCUUUUGAGAUCUUGAGUUGGAAUAAGUUGCAGACUGGAGAGACGGAGGAAGAAUGAAGUUAUUCAACUGGGUUCAUAGGAAAUUUCAACAAAAUGCUGAUAGCUACUCUGUGUGUCCAAAAAAAGAGGGAAAAUUGCCACUGGAAGAAACAAAACACGAAAUCUAUACAAACAAUUCGCACGAUAAGGAGGUGUUACUUGACAAUGUCACUUUAGUUGAAGUUCUGGACGGUUGGAAAGAUGGCAUUUUAACGAUUGGUACAUUUGGCUUUGAUCCCUUGAAAGAAAACGAAGAAUUUUCACCUGACAACAACAAAGAAUAUGUCCAAGAAGAAGAAGAGGAAAAUUCUGCUGAGAAAAAUAAAGGAAUGCUGAAUCCAGUAGUUGUUAAGGCUUUCGAAAUUGAAUUUCUCAAAGAAAUGGGCUCAAAUCUUGACGCAAGUGUACCGAGACUUGAUCAUUUAACUCCCACAGUUGAGGAUGCUCCUUUACUGAAAUUUAUUGAAUCCCCUGAAAUCAAAGCCGAUGAGGUAGAGACUGAUAAGAAGAAGAGAACAACACUUGCUGAUUUGUUCUCAGCUGACUCAGUUGAUGGUGCCAUGGAGAAAUCAGGUUUGGAUGAGGAAAAAUCAGAAUCGAAUAAUAAAUCCUCGGCAACAAAAACUGGUCACUCAUUCGGCAAGAAGCUAAUGCCUCCCAAGGGUGAGACUCGAGUAAUAAAAAAAUUACACAAGAUGGUAACAAAGAUGUUGAAGAAGAAGAUUCAUCCUGACCUUGAAAGCAAGCAGGUCCGUGGAAAUAAGGAAGGAUCAAUUGCAAAUGAAUCGACUGUGGAGAUGAUGAAUUGUAAUGGUGUAUCAGCAGCACAAUGUAUUCAGGACUCGAGCCAGGUUACUGGAAGGGUGGAAUUGAUUUCUCUACUUUCAACUCAAACGAGUGUGUAGACUCCGAUACAAUUUCCACCAUAGAUUUCCCUGGGACAUAGAUGAAGCUGUUUUGUUUGAUAACUUAUAUCGUAGAGAAGUUUGGACCCUAGUUAGUAAUUCGGUGAAUAAUUCGCGAAUUAUUCCGUAUUAAUCGGGAACGAAUCAUACGGGCGACCCAUUGAAAGACCGACCCAGUCACUGAACAGAUCGCACCCAAAUUCGUUUUCUGAUUUCCUAUCUUCAAAUCCUUCAAUAUCUGCUUCUAAGGAUGGCGACAAG